UAUAAUCGAUGCCUUCUUCAAUUUUCUCCAAAGUUUUGCCUAAAGUUGUGCCCAGCUUAUUUUUAUUCAUUCGAUGAAAAUCGAGAACGGGAGGGAAGAGAAGAAGAACACAACAUAAUCUGUUUCUCUACUUCACCAAAGAACACAACAUGCAUGGCAUAAUUUAACGUUCUUCUCUUUUUUUCUUUUCUUUUAAUCUCGAGAUUUCUAGCAACAAGGGAUUAACCCGGCAACGCAACAAGUACCUUACCAGGUGAACAAUCUUUGAUACACGUUCGGGUAUUUUUAAUUUCUGCCUGGUCGAUUAGAUUUGUCGAAGUUUGAUUUUACCUAGAAAAAAUUAACCAAAAAUUAAUGUUUAAAAAUGCUCAAAAAUAUUAAACAUGUUCGGGAUAAAACAGUAAAAAUAUCCAUACCACUAAAAAAAGUAGGGAAGUAUCCGAAAAUACAUAAUAUUACCUAAGUAUCCAAAAUAGGGAAAUUGUCC
rnacentral:lncRNA from 1 species